AGCGUACACGGUGGAUGCCCUGGCAGUCAGAGGCGAUGAAGGACGUGCUAAUCUGCGAAAAGCGCCGGCGAGGUGAUAUGAACCUUUGACCCGGCGAUGUCCGAAUGGGGAAACCCAGUGCAAUCCGUUGCACUAUCGUUAACUGAAUACAUAGGUUAACGAGGCGAACCGGGGGAACUGAAACAUCUAAGUACCCCGAGGAAAAGAAAUCAACCGAGAUUCCCCCAGUAGCGGCGAGCGAACGGGGAGCAGCCCGGAGUCUGAAUCAGCUUGUGUGUUAGUGGAACGGUCUGGAAAGUCCGACGGUACAGGGUGAUAGUCCCGUACACGAAAGCACACUUGCUGUGAACUCGAAGAGUAGGGCGGGACACGUGGUAUCCUGUCUGAAUAUGGGGGGACCAUCCUCCAAGGCUAAAUACUCCUGACUGACCGAUAGUGAACCAGUACCGUGAGGGAAAGGCGAAAAGAACCCCGGCGAGGGGAGUGAAAAAGAACCUGAAACCGUGUACGUACAAGCAGUGGGAGCCUCUUUAUGGGGUGACUGCGUACCUUUUGUAUAAUGGGUCAGCGACUUAUAUUCUGUAGCAAGGUUAACCGUAUAGGGGAGCCGAAGGGAAACCGAGUCUUAACUGGGCGUUAAGUUGCAGGGUAUAGACCCGAAACCCGGUGAUCUAGCCAUGGGCAGGUUGAAGGUUGGGUAACACUAACUGGAGGACCGAACCGACUAAUGUUGAAAAAUUAGCGGAUGACCUGUGGCUGGGGGUGAAAGGCCAAUCAAACCGGGAGAUAGCUGGUUCUCCCCGAAAGCUAUUUAGGUAGCGCCUCGUGAACUCAUCUUCGGGGGUAGAGCACUGUUUCGGCUAGGGGGCCAUCCCGGCUUACCAACCCGAUGCAAACUACGAAUACCGAAGAAUGUUAUCACGGGAGACACACGGCGGGUGCUAACGUCCGUCGUGAAGAGGGAAACAACCCAGACCGCCAGCUAAGGUCCCAAAGUCAUGGUUAAGUGGGAAACGAUGUGGGAAGGCACAGACAGCCAGGAUGUUGGCUUAGAAGCAGCCAUCAUUUAAAGAAAGCGUAAUAGCUCACUGGUCGAGUCGGCCUGCGCGGAAGAUGUAACGGGGCUAAACCAUGCACCGAAGCUGCGGCAGCGACGCUUAGGCGUUGUUGGGUAGGGGAGCGUUCUGUAAGCCGUUGAAGGUGUNNUUAACGCUGAGGUGUGAUGACGAGGCACUACGGUGCUGAAGUGAUAAAUGCCCUGCUUCCAGGAAAAGCCUCUAAGCAUCAGGUAACACGAAAUCGUACCCCAAACCGACACAGGUGGUCAGGUAGAGAAUACCAAGGCGCUUGAGAGAACUCGGGUGAAGGAACUAGGCAAAAUGGUGCCGUAACUUCGGGAGAAGGCACGCUGAUAUGUAGGUGAAGUCCCUGCGGACGGAGCUGAAAUCAGUCGAAGAUACCAGCUGGCUGCAACUGUUUAUUAAAAACACAGCACUGUGCAAACACGAAAGUGGACGUAUACGGUGUGACGCCUGCCCGGUGCCGGAAGGUUAAUUGAUGGGGUUAGCGGCAACGCGAAGCUCUUGAUCGAAGCCCCGGUAAACGGCGGCCGUAACUAUAACGGUCCUAAGGUAGCGAAAUUCCUUGUCGGGUAAGUUCCGACCUGCACGAAUGGCGUAAUGAUGGCCAGGCUGUCUCCACCCGAGACUCAGUGAAAUUGAACUCGCUGUGAAGAUGCAGUGUACCCGCGGCAAGACGGAAAGACCCCGUGAACCUUUACUAUAGCUUGACACUGAACACUGGUCCUUGAUGUGUAGGAUAGGUGGGAGGCUUUGAAGCGUGGACGCCAGUCUGCGUGGAGCCAACCUUGAAAUACCACCCUUUAAUGGCUGGUGUUCUAACGUAGACCCGUAAUCCGGGUUGCGGACAGUGUCUGGUGGGUAGUUUGACUGGGGCGGUCUCCUCCCAAAGAGUAACGGAGGAGCACGAAGGUUGGCUAAUCCUGGUCGGACAUCAGGAGGUUAGUGCAAUGGCAUAAGCCAGCUUGACUGCGAGCGUGACGGCGCGAGCAGGUGCGAAAGCAGGUCAUAGUGAUCCGGUGGUUCUGAAUGGAAGGGCCAUCGCUCAACGGAUAAAAGGUACUCCGGGGAUAACAGGCUGAUACCGCCCAAGAGUUCAUAUCGACGGCGGUGUUUGGCACCUCGAUGUCGGCUCAUCACAUCCUGGGGCUGAAGUAGGUCCCAAGGGUAUGGCUGUUCGCCAUUUAAAGUGGUACGCGAGCUGGGUUUAGAACGUCGUGAGACAGUUCGGUCCCUAUCUGCCGUGGGCGCUGGAGAAUUGAGGGGGGCUGCUCCUAGUACGAGAGGACCGGAGUGGACGCAUCACUGGUGUUCGGGUUGUCAUGCCAAUGGCACUGCCCGGUAGCUAAAUGCGGAAGAGAUAAGUGCUGAAAGCAUCUAAGCACGAAACUUGCCCCGAGAUGAGUUCUCCCUGAGACUUUAAGUCUCCUGAAGGAACGUUGAAGACUACGACGUUGAUAGGUCGGGUGUGUAAGCGCAGCGAUGCGUUGAGCUAACCGAUACUAAUGAACCGUGAGGCUUAACC
rnacentral:rRNA from 1 species